UACGUAGGGUGCAAGCGUUGUCCGGAAUUAUUGGGCGUAAAGAGCUCGUAGGCGGUUUGUCGCGUCGAAUGUGAAAACCCGGGGCUCAACCCCGGGCCUGCAUUCGAUACGGGCAGACUAGAGUUCGGUAGGGGAGUCUGGAAUUCCUGGUGUAGCGGUGGAAUGCGCAGAUAUCAGGAGGAACACCGGUGGCGAAGGCGGGAUCCUGGGCCAGUACUGACGCUGAGGAGCGAAAGCGUGGGGAGCAAACAGG
rnacentral:rRNA from 1 species